UACCAGCAGCCCCGAGUGGUCGGGACGAUUAUUGGGCCUAAAGCAAGUCCGUAGCCGGUCAUGCAAGUCUUCCGUUAAAUCCAAGCCGCCUGCAACGGUUCGGGCUGGCGGAGGAUACUUACGUAGGCUAGGAGGCGGGAGAGGCAAGCGGUACUCGAGUGGGUAAGGGGUAAAAUCCUUUGAUCCAUUGAAGACCAGCCAGUAGGCGAAGGCGGCUUGCCAGAACGUCGGC
rnacentral:rRNA from 1 species